rfam:Methylacidiphilum fumariolicum SolV, WGS project CAHT01000000 data, contig: 77-2114
CAACUAUUGGGCGAUGGGGCUCGCCGUCCGUUAACCGCCACUCCUUUGAGAAGGCUGAUAGCUCCUACGAUUAC